rnacentral:rRNA from 1 species
AGCGGCAGGCUUAACACAUGCAAGUCGAGGGGUAUAGUUCUUCGGAACUAGAGACCGGCGCACGGGUGCGUAACGCGUAUGCAAUCUACCUUUCACAGAGGGAUAGCCCAGAGAAAUUUGGAUUAAUACCUCAUAGCAUAGUAGUCUCGCAUGAGACCACUAUUAAAGAUUUAUCGGUGAAAGAUGAGCAUGCGUCCCAUUAGUUAGUUGGUAAGGUAACGGCUUACCAAGACUACGAUGGGUAGGGGUCCUGAGAGGGAGAUCCCCCACACUGGUACUGAGACACGGACCAGACUCCUACGGGAGGCAGCAGUGAGGAAUAUUGGACAAUGGGCGCAAGCCUGAUCCAGCCAUGCCGCGUGCAGGAUGACGGUCCUAUGGAUUGUAAACUGCUUUUAUACAGGAAGAAACACCUCUACGUGUAGAGACUUGACGGUACUGUAAGAAUAAGGAUCGGCUAACUCCGUGCCAGCAGCCGCGGUAAUACGGAGGAUCCAAGCGUUAUCCGGAAUCAUUGGGUUUAAAGGGUCCGUAGGCGGUUUAGUAAGUCAGUGGUGAAAGCCCAUCGCUCAACGGUGGAACGGCCAUUGAUACUGCUAGACUUGAAUUAUUAGGAAGUAACUAGAAUAUGUAGUGUAGCGGUGAAAUGCUUAGAGAUUACAUGGAAUACCAAUUGCGAAGGCAGGUUACUACUAAUUGAUUGACGCUGAUGGACGAAAGCGUGGGUAGCGAACAGGAUUAGAUACCCUGGUAGUCCACGCCGUAAACGAUGGAUACUAGCUGUUGGGCGCAAGUUCAGUGGCUAAGCGAAAGUGAUAA